UGUCCAGUAGCACUUUAGAGACCAACUAAGUUUGUUCUUGGUAUAAGCUUUUGUGUGCAGGCACACAAAACUUAGUUGGUCUCUUAGGUGCUACUGGACA